GGGGUCCUUUGUGAAUCAGGGAGAUCUUUCACCGACCCAAGUGGCUGUCAAUAUUACAAAAAAAGACGAUUGAGUGAGGUUAAGAAGGCUAGCGCUUUUUUGUAACAAUCCUUGAAAAUUGGACUCUUGCCUUCCGACCAAGGGGAGUUACAGCAAGAUAGUCUCUGAGCCUUUCAAGUGAGAGCCAUGUUUAUGUCGCCUAAACAAGACAGAGGUGCUCCUUUAAUUAUUUGAUGAUCUAUGUUUGGACUGCUCAAUUAGGCCAACUGAGAAGGAUAGCAACAGUUGAAACGACCUUGAGUCUUGUAUUCCAAGUUCCAGAUGAAAUGUUCGGCCGAAAGUGAUCUUCUGUGUUUAGAGAGAAGAAAAAGUUGGCACAAGAGGACAUGAUCAUGUUACUACUCUUGUUAUUAAGAUUGAGUGACUGAUUGAUUUUGUUCGGUAGACUGAUUUCUGGAUUGUUUGGUUCAUUUCAUAAUCUAUCAUCGGUUUCUUUGCUUAUCUAUUCAUCGAUUUAUUCCAUUGAAUUGAAUUGUUAAUUGUUUGAUUGAUCGCUUGGUUGACUGAUUGAUUCAUCAAUUGUUUACCGACUUUUAUUGGUUGAUUUAUACCAACAUUGUUCAGUCAUCCCAUAUUUUUACCAUUUUCUCAUUCAUUUUUACUUUGAAGAGCUACAAAUGGGGCAACCUCAUCAUGUUCCGUUAGUUGCUUCCUGAAAACAUUUAAGAUGUCUUGUCCACGAUCACGACAAAGUGGACACAAAAACCGGCGUUCCUGCAUAAUUAUUG